ACAAAGGGCAGCAAGUUCGCGAGGACAAGCAAAUCCCAUAAACUGUGGCUCAGUUCAGAUCGUAGGCUGCAACUCGCCUACGUGAAGGAGGAAUCGCUAGUAAUCGCAGGUCAGCAUACUGCGGUGAAUACGUUCCCGGGCCUUGUACACACCGCCCGUCACACCAUGGAAGUUGGCCACGCCCGAAGCCGUUACUCCAACCCUCGGGAGGAGGACGUCGAAGGUGGGGCUGAUGACUGGGGUGAAGUCGUAACAAGGUAUCCGUACCGGAAGGUGCGGAUGGAUCACCUCCUAAC
rnacentral:rRNA from 1 species